AUUGAACGCUGGCGGCAGGCCUAACACAUGCAAGUCGAACGAGUGGCGGACGGGUGAGUAAUGUCUGGGAAACUGCCUGAUGGCGGGGGAUAACUACUGGAAACGGUAGCUAAUACCGCAUCCCAUUAGAUGAGCCCAGAUGGGAUUAGCUAGUUGGGGGGGUAAAGGCUAACCACGGCGACGAUCCCUAGCUGGUCUGAGUGGAUGACCAGCCACACUGGAACUGAGACACGGUCCAGACUCCUACGGUAGGCAGCAGAGGGGAAUAUUGCACAAUGGGCGCAAGCCUGAUGCAGGCAUGCCGCGUGUAUGAAGAAGGCCUUCGGGUUGUAAAGUACUUUCAGCGGGGAGGCGUUACCCGCAGAAGAAGCACCGGCUAACUCCGUGCCAGCAGCCGCGGUAAUUC
rnacentral:rRNA from 1 species